rnacentral:lncRNA from 1 species
AUCCACUUUCUGUAUGGUCCUGUCCUUCAUUCGAGUUUAUAACGUUCUCCCCAGCUGAAGUCUACACAAUCUUUACCCAGACAUCAGAAACAGCUGUCUCAGGCAGAAGGCGCUUGACUCCAGCAAAGUGCUGGGCACACAGAAGGACAACGUGAUGAAGCGCCAUCACAUGGCUGGUAGCCUGUGGUGAGUCACCGGACUUCUCGACUCCCACCUCACUAGGGUGGAAGGAACAGUAACCACAACGCUCUGCAACUCGGGCUGCGCCCGCAUGAUUGGAAACAAUCUGUGAAAUUGUGGAGUGAACAACCCCGAAGAAAUAGACUUCUAAUUCUAGCCUUUUGGAGAUUAUUAACCCAACUCCCAGAUUCUACAGAUGAGAAAAGGGAGGCCCAGGGAGGUGGAGAAACAUGUGUAGGAUCACAGAGAUGCCUUCAGCUCUCCAAAACAACAGAAAUGAUCAAAGAUGGAGGCAAGAAGACCAGAGAACCCUAAAUGUUUACUGUCUCCAGUGUGUUUGGAAACAGCUUGGACCAGUGUAGAGUGCUGGAACAGAGAGUCAAGAGCAUCAGGCGCGCCACCCAGAUAGCAUCUGAAAGAUUGUAAACAGGAUGAUUCACAAACUGGUGGCAGCAGCUAAAAGCAGUGCAGUUCGCGACCCUCAGCACACGCCAAGAUUCUAAAUGGGAUGUUGCGACAACAAAGCAGCCUGAAGAUUCUAAAACAUAAUGGUGUCACCAGGACAUUCACAGGGUGCUGUAACCUGUAACUGACAAGCAUACUCAUCAUCAUUUCUCCUUGGGCAUGCUGCAUCCUUGCGCUCCACUGGGCCUCCUGUUGCAUUGCUAUUUAUUUGCAUCUACAAGCAGGGGAGCAAGUAUGCUGCGGAAAUAGCCCCAGAGAGGUGUCUGAUUCCCAUAGGCCCUUGCAGCCAGCUACAACUGAAUGAUUUCCGAUAUCAGUUACUGAAAAUUCUGACCAUGAUAUGCAGACCAUGGCAGAUCUUAAUGACAAUAACAUCAUCUCACAUUUUGAUGGCGUUUAACAGUUUACAAAGUGCUUUCACAUACAUUAUCACAUUUAAUCCCAGUGAGGUCGAUAGUCUUCUUCUCCAUUUUAUUGGCAGCUUGGUGUAGUGGAAAGAGCUGUGGAAUCAGACAGACUUAAGUUCAGAUUCUGCCUCUGACUACCAAACCAUGGACAAUUUGCUUCAUUUCUCUCCCUUUUCUUACCUAUAGGAUGAGGAAUCAUUUCUAUUUCCGAGGUUUGUGGUGAAAAUUAAAUAACAUAUGUAAAGACAUACAAUAUAGGGCCCGAUGCAUAGAAGUACUCGAUAACCAUUAGUUUCUGUCCACUUACAGAGGAAGAAAAUGAAGCUUAAGAGGUUAAGGGAGUUGCUCAAAGUAAUAGCUAGUAAAUGGCAGAACUGAGACUUCAUUUAUUUUACAAAUAUUAUUGAACACCUACUAUAUGCUGGUGCCUUGGGCAUAGGAAAGUGGAUGAGUCAUAAUUCUAGUUUUUGAGAUGUUCACAGUAGAGCGGUGGAAUCUGAAAUGCAAAUAAUCAAUUAUAAUCGAGCGUAAUCUGAGAGGCAAAAAGUACUUAGGGAAUAUCCUAAAGCCAUGGGUGCACCCUAGAGUAUCUACACAAGAGAUAAGUCUGAGGAAGAGGAACCUUCCAGGAGGCAGCAGUAGAGUUACACCUGAAAUAAAAUGUUGGCAGGUGGAUGAGGGUGAGCAAGGAGAGGAGCAUUCAGGCGAAGACAACAGUGUGUGCAUUCAUCAGGAGGGUCAAAGGAGCCUGGCAUGUCCACUGCAGCACAGAAGAGAACCUGAGCAGACAGGAGAGAGAAGGGAGAGGAGGAGGCAAGGAAGCAGGAGUGAGAAGAAUGAAGGGGCUUGCAGGUAAUGCUGAGAAGCGUGCAUCUUUGUCAGUCCACACUGGCACAAACUCUGUGAUGAUUUACAGAGAGAGCCAACCUGGUCAGAUUUGCAUUUUUGAAAUUGUGGCAGCAAUGUGAAAGAUUGACUAGAGGAGGGGAUAAUGGAGGCAGUAGUUCAAUGAGAGAUAAUUAGGCUAUGAACUAAGAAAGUGGCAGAGCAGACAAUUUCAAGCGGUAUAGCAGAGGCAGAAUUGACAGGAUGUGGCCAUUAACUGGAUGUCAAGACAGGAGAGACAGAGAGAACUCUAGGAGGACUCCCAGGCUAUGAGCUUUGGUGGCUGGGCGAACGAAGAUGUCCCCCACUGACGUAGAAGGAGAGGACAUUUGAAGAGAUGAUAAUAAAUUCAUGUGGACAUGUUGACUCUGAGAGACUCAUGGAUAUCAAGAAGGAGGUGUUCAGUAGACAGCUAAAAAUAUGAGUCUGGAGUUUGGGAGAGGACUCACAAUUAGAUGCAUUGAUCUAGGGAUCAAUGGUUUUUAGACAAUGGUUGAAGCUGUUUUUUUAUGCCAAGAGGAUAGAGCAAGAAGAAAAGUGGGUCCUGGAGAACUCUAGGGAAUAUCAAUGUUUAGGUGCUAGAAUGAGGAUUGUUGGAGAGAUGGAACUACCAGGAGAAAGGGAGAGCUCAGAGGCCAGGGAAGGCAAGCAUUUUUUGAUGAUGAAAGUAGAGGAAAGUAUCAAAUUCCACCAAAGGAUCAAAGAAGAUGAGAACUGAGAUAUGCCUGGCAUUUGGGCAAUGAUAAGAUCACUUUGGCAACUUCAGUUUUAGACAAAGUGGUUAAAAAAGAGGCUUUUUUUUUUCUAUGACCCAAUAUAAGAAAAAUAUUUUAGGCCAGACAUGAUGGCUCACACCUGUAAUCCCAACACUUUGGGAGGCCUAGGCAGGUGGAUCACCUGAGGUCAGGAGUUUGAUACCAGCCUGGCCAAUGUGGUGAAACCCCGUUUCUACUAAUAAUACAAAAUUUAGCCAGGCAUGGUGGCAUGUGCCUGUAGUCCCAGCUACCCAGGAGCCUGAGGGAGGAGAAUCGCUUGAACCUGGGAGGCAGAGGCUGCAGUGAACUGAGAUUGCACCACUGCACUCCAGCCUAGGCAAUAGAGUGAGACUCCAUGAAAGAAAGAAAGAGAGAGAGAGAGAGAAAAGAAAAGAAAGGAAAGAAAAGAAAGGAGGGAGGGAAGGAGGGAGGGGAAAGAAGGAAGGAAGGAAGGAAGGAAGGAAGGAAGGAAGGAAGGAAGGAAGGAAGGAAGGAAAGAAAGAAAAAUAUAUUUUACAUUGUGACCUGAGAAAAACUUUCAAGAAACAAUACUUACACUCUGACAUGUCAUGACGUGUCACACGCCACCUGUUCUGUUCUAUUCUAUUCUAUUCUAUUCUAUUCUAUUCUAUUCUAUUCUAUUCUAUUCUAUUGCAUUCUAUUGCAUUCUGUUCCAUUCCAUCCCAUUCUAUUCAAAUGCUGCUUGGCCCUCACUAAAUUGAUUUUAUGACCAACUAGUGAGUUUCAACCUGCAGUUUGAAAAAACAGUAGUUUAGACAAAUACAGUUUUCUCACACAAAAAUUAUAUGGAGCAAAGUGUGGGAUAGAAGAAAGAACAUUGGAUUUUGAGUGAAGACACCUGAUUUUCAGCAUGACUCAUUUACUUACUGACUGUGUGACCUUAGAUGUGCCCAUUAACCUUUGUGUGUCUCUUCUAUUACCUGUAAAAUUCAGAUAAUAGAUCAGCUGCAAAGGGAUCUUCUGGGGAUCAAAUGAGAUAAAAUGCAUGAAUGCAAAAAGCAUAAGCCUAAAAUAGUCCUGGUCAAAGUAAAAUUACCAUAAUCAAAGAAAGAGCAGAAUGGUGCAUGGUGUAUCCCAGUUGGCUCUGGGUCUGUCAUCUGAAUCCUAGAGCCACAUCUCUCCAGAACAUACUGAGAACCAGAAAUGGGAUCAAAAUAAUUUAACCAAUCAAAACAGGUGUUGCUGCUAUAUUUAUAAAAUUCACAAAAUUUACUGACACAGAAGCCCGUGUGAAAUCCCAUCAGAAUCAUUGUAGUCUUGUUCUAAUACUAUUGUAGCCAUGUUGAUUUUCUGAUCUAUAUCUAUGGACCUGUAUCAGAAGGACAUUCAAUAAAAUCCUAUUGGAAGAGGAGCUGAUAGAGGCAAGUAUUUUCGCUACAGUGUGACAUGACAGCAAACAGACUGCAGGGAAACAGCAAGAUGAAAUCAUUUAAUAUAGGCAAUAUGUAAACUUCAGCAGACCCUGGUGAUAUCACUGUAUUAAGGUAUAAUACAAUAACUGAUUUUUAUGGUUCAUUCAACAAACUACUGUGUUUGAGUACUCAAUAUAUGUACUAAUCUAGGUGCAAGGAAGACACAGAUAAACUGGGGAUGUUUCCUAACCCUAAAAAGUGAGCACACAGAUGAGUGAGACAGACACAUACACAGAUAAUUUCCACUAACAUGGUACAGUGAAGAAAAAUAUGCAUCUGAGCAUGAUAUGAUAUUAAUAUGUCAUGAGAGAAAAGAAGAAGAGCAGCUAGCCCAAAGUGGAAGUGGAAUUCAGGUAAUGCUUCUUGAAGGUCAUUUGCCCAAGAUGAGUCUUGAUGAAGAUAAAGAAAGAUGGGGAAACAAUUCAGAAUGAUGGAAUAGCCUGAGAAAGGCAUGAAAGUAUGAAACCUUGCAUAGUGUAGAUAAUAUUUCUAGAUCAUAAAAAAGACAAGUACAGGCUAUACUUAAGAGGUAGGUAUGGUCCUCAAUACUGAGAGUCUUCUAUACCAGGUUAAGAUGUGUAGAGGACAUCACAUUGACCAGAGGAAGCCACUAAUAGGGAUUGAUUACUCUGGAAGCCUUAUGGAGGAGGAAUUUAAAAAUGGAUUAGGCACGUAAGUUAGGGAACAAUUGCAGUGGUUCAGGAGAGACAUAUUGAGGGUAUGAAGGAGAGAAGCAGUAAUAUGGAUGAAGAAGAGGGGUUAUAUUUGAAAAAUAUUUUUGAUACUAUAUUUAGAUGUGAAGGCUGAGGCCAGGUAAUAAAUGCUCCACUUCAGGGACAAAAACAUGACCUAGACUCCCCAAUAGUAUUCACUUUCUUGAGUUCAUGAUUGAGUCUAGAGAAAUUAAUACAUCUCUACAAGGCAUUAUAGUAUGAGGUAGAAGAUGCUAAGUGUUGAAAGAAAGGCACAGACAUAUGGUUAUGGGAGUUAGAGGAAAGAGGCAUAAAUUCCAACUGAGAGUUUUAGGGAAGUCUUCCUGGAAGAAGAGGCAUGCAAGGCAGAUCUUGAAAGAUGGUUAAGAUUUUGCCAUGAGUUGAUGAGAAGAAAGUGCAUUUCUGAUAAAGGAAUAAUCUGAGAAGACAUAGGAUGAAAGAUGGUGUCAUUUUGAGCUAAAAACACAGGCUCUGGAGUCACACAAAGUUGGGACCAAACUUUGGCUCUGUCACAUUCUAAUCACAAAAUUGGGGAUAAUUUAAUUGACACUUCAGAGCCUCGGCUCCUCAUUUGUACGACAGUUAUGACUAUCAUUUAUCUUAUGGGAUUAUUGUGAGGAUUUUUUCCUAUUAAACUUGAUUUAUUGAUUACAAUGAAAUUGACUUACCUCCGAGUUUUAUACUUUCAUGUGUUUUUGUAUCACUAAUUUUUUAUUCAGCUUGGAGCAUUCUCUUUAGCAUUUCUUGUAAGACAGGUCUAAUGGUGAUGAACUCCCACAGCUUUUGUUUGUCUGAAAAAGUCCUUAUCUCUCCUUCAUUUCUGAAUGACUACCUUGCCAGAUAUAGUAUUCUUUGUUGGCUGUUGUUGUUGUUGUUUACCUUUAGUACUUUUUUUUCCUUCUCCUCUUUUAGGGAAUUUAUUUUAAACCUAUUAUACUACACAAUAUGUUUUAAACACUGACAUAUAACUUCCUAAUAAGAUAGAGCUAAGAUAGAGCAAAGACAAAAAAAGUUUAUCUUAUUGGAAACAAGAUACAGCAUCAUUUAUAGUCAUUGUCAAACAUUACUGCACUUUAACUUUCAUAAUUUGACAAAGCAUUCAUGAAACAAUCUGC